rnacentral:rRNA from 1 species
GAUGAACGCUGGCGGCGUGCCUAAUACAUGCAAGUCGAGCGAACGGAUGAGAAGCUUUCUUCUCUGAUGUUAGCGGCGGACGGGUGAGUAACACGUGGAUAACCUACCUAUAAGACUGGGAUAACCUCGGGAAACCGGAGCUCAUACCGGAUAAUAUUUUGAACCGCAUGGUUCAAAAGUGAAAGAGGGUCUUGCUGUCACUUAUAGAUGGAUCCGCGCUGCAUUAGUUAGUUGGUAAGGUAACGGCUUACCAAGGCAACGAUGCAUAGCCGACCUGAGAGGGUGAUCGGCCACACUGGAACUGAGACACGGUCCAGACUCCUACGGGAGGCAGCAGUAGGGAAUCUUCCGCAAUGGGCGAAAGCCUGACGGAGCAACGCCGCGUGAGUGAAGAAGGUCUUCGGAUCGUAAAACUCUGUUAUUAGGGAAGAACAUAUGUGUAAGUAACUGUGCACAUCUUGACGGUACCUAAUCAGAAAGCCACGGCUAACUACGUG